UACGUAGGGUGCAAGCGUUAAUCGGAAUACUGGGCGUAAAAGCGUGCGCAGGCGGUGAUGUAAGACAGAUGUGAAAUCCCCGGGCUCAACCUGGGAACUGCAUUUGUGACUGCAUCGCUGGAGUGCGGCAGAGGGGGAUGGAAUUCCGCGUGUAGCAGUGAAAUGCGUAGAUAUGCGGAGGAACACCGAUGGCGAAGGCAAUCCCCUGGGCCUGCACUGACGCUCAUGCACGAAAGCGUGGGGAGCGAAACCAAG
rnacentral:rRNA from 1 species